rnacentral:rRNA from 1 species
AUUGAACGCUGGCGGCAGGCCUAACACAUGCAAGUCGAACGGUAACAGGAAGAAGCUUGCUUCUUUGCUGACGAGUGGCGGACGGGUGAGAAAUGUCUGGGAAACUGCCUGAUGGAGGGGGAUAACUACUGGAAACGGUAGCUAAUACCGCAUAACUUCGCAAGACCAAAGAGGGGGACCUUCGGGCCUCUUGCCAUCGGAUGUGCCCAGAUGGGAUUAGCUAGUAGGUGGGGUAACGGCUCACCUAGGCGACGAUCCCUAGCUGGUCUGAGAGGAUGACCAGCCACACUGGAACUGAGACACGGUCCAGACUCCUACGGGAGGCAGCAGUGGGGAAUAUUGCACAAUGGGCGCAAGCCUGAUGCAGCCAUGCCGCGUGUAUGAAGAAGGCCUUCGGGUUGUAAAGUACUUUCAGCGGGGAGGAAGGGAGUAAAGUUAAUACCUUUGCUCAUUGACGUUACCCGAAGAAGAAGCACCGGCUAACUCCGUG